rnacentral:rRNA from 1 species
AGCGAAAUUUAGUAGCGAAGUAGCUGAUUUCACACUGUCAAGAAAAGUCUCUAUCGAGGUUAAAGGUACCCGUACCGCAAACCGACACAGGUGGGUGAGGAGAGUAUCCUAAGGCCAGCGAGAGAACUGUUGUUAAGGAACUCGGCAAAAUGACCCCGUAACUUAGGGAUAAGGGGUGCCACCAUCAGGUGGCCGCAGAGAAUAGGCCCAAGCGACUGUUUACCAAAAACAUAGGUUUCUGCUAAGUCGCAAGACGAUGUAUAGGAGCUGACGCC